rnacentral:rRNA from 1 species
UUGAGAGUUUGAUCCUGGCUCAGGAUGAACGCUGGCUGUGUGCCUAAUACAUGCAUGUCGAGCGGAGUAUUAAUUUAUUAGUGCUUAGCGGCAAAUGGGUGAGUAACACGUAUUUAACCUACCUCAAAGACUGGGAUAACAACAGGAAACUGUUGCUAAUACCGGAUAUGUAUUUAGAUCGCAUGAUUUAGAUAUCAAAGGAGCGUUUGCUUCACUUUGAAAUGGGAGUGCGUUACAUUAGCUAGUUGGUAGGGUAAUGGCCUACCAAGGCGAUGAUGUAUAGCUGAGUUGAGAGACUGAACAGCCACACUGGGACUGAGAUACGGCCCAGACUCCUACGGGAGGCAGCAACAGCCACACUGGGACUGAGAUACGGCCCAGACUCCUACGGGAGGCAGCAGUAGGGAAUUUUCCACAAUGGACGAAAGUCUGAUGGAGUGACACAGCGUGCAGGAUGAAGGUCUUCGGAUUGUAAACUGCUGUUAUAAGGGAAGAAAAGCUUAGGGAGGAAAUGCCCUAAGUAUGACGGUACCUUGUCAGAAAGCACCGGCUAACUAUGUGCCAGCAGCUGCGGUAAUACAUAGGGUGCAAGCGUUAUCCGAAAUUAUUGGGUGUAAAGAGUUCGUAGGUUGUUUGUUAAGUCAGAAGUUAAAUCCCGGGGCUCAACCCUGGCCCGCUUUUGAUACUAGCAAACUAGAGUUAUAAAGAGGUUAGUGGAAUUCCUAGUGAAGCGGUGAAAUGUGUAGAUAUUAGGAAGAACAUCAAUGGCGAAGGCAGCUAACUGGUUAUGUACUGACACUGAGGAACGAAAGCGUGGGGAGCAAACAG